UGAUUCGAUCCGAUCUAUAUCUCCAGUGUACUCGAUGAAGCUAGCUUCAGGCAGCUGCCUUUUUUUUUCUUUUUUCUUUUAAAAUAAGAGAGAGAGGCAAGGCUAGGCAGGCAGCUGAUAGAAUUACCAAACCUGAUGUGUGCAGUGUGCUGCCCAAAUAAUUGCCAUGUGCAUGGAAAAUGAUUGUGUUUUCUCAUGGAUAUUGAUUUGAUUACUGGU
rnacentral:sRNA from 1 species